CCAGCACCUGCGGUAAUUCCAGCUCCAAUAGCGUAUAUUAAAGUUGUUGCAGUUAAAAAGCUCGUAGUUGAAUUUCUGGAGGGCACGUUGGGACCGCUUGAUUGCGCGUCCUUGGCGAACUCUCCAUCCUUGCAGGGAGCGUGUCGGCCUUCACUGGUUCGGCUCGUCGACCUGCAUCGUUUACUGUGAAAAAAUUAGAGUGUUUAAAGCAGGCAGUCGCUUGAAUACAUUAGCAUGGAAUAAUAAGAUAGGACUUUGGUCUAUUUUGUUGGUUGCGGCCCAAGGUAAUGAUUAAUAGGGAUGAUUGGGGACAUUCAUAUUGAGGUGGAAGAGGUGAAAUUCUUGGAUUUCCUCAAGAUGAACUGCUGCGAAAGCGUCUGUCUAGGGCGUUUUCAUUAAU
rnacentral:rRNA from 1 species